rnacentral:rRNA from 1 species
CAAUAUAUGAGACCGGCGCACGGGUGCGUAACGCGUAUGCAACCUACCUUUUACAGGGGAAUAGCCCAGAGAAAUUUGGAUUAAUGCCCCAUGGUAUAUUUUAGUGGCAUCACUAGAUUAUUAAAGUUCCAACGGUAAAAGAUGGGCAUGCGUCCUAUUAGCUAGAUGGUAAGGUAACGGCUUACCAUGGCUACGAUAGGUAGGGGUCCUGAGAGGGAAAUCCCCCACACUGGUACUGAGACACGGACCAGACUCCUACGGGAGGCAGCAGUGAGGAAUAUUGGACAAUGGGCGCAAGCCUGAUCCAGCCAUGCCGCGUGCAGGAAGACGCAUCUAUGGUGUGUAAACUGCUUUUGUACGGGAAGAAACACUCCUACGUGUAGGAGCUUGACGGUACCGUAAGAAUAAGGAUCGGCUAACUCCGUGCCAGCAGCCGCGGUAAUACGGAGGAUCCAAGCGUUAUCCGGAAUCAUUGGGUUUAAAGGGUCCGUAGGCGGUUUGAUAAGUCAGUGGUGAAAGCCCAUCGCUCAACGAUGGAACGGCCAUUGAUACUGUCAGACUUGAAUUACUGGGAAGUA